rnacentral:rRNA from 1 species
UGGGGAAUUUUGCACAAUGGGGGAAACCCUGAUGCAGCGACGCCGCGUGAUUUAGAAGGCCUUCGGGUUGUAAAAAUCUUUUCUAUGGGAAGAAAAUGACAGUACCAUCGGAAUAAGGACCGGCUAAUUACGUGCCAGCAGCCGCGGUAAUACGUAAGGUCCGAGCGCUGUCCGGAAUCAUUGGGCGUAAAGGGUACGUAGGCGGGUAAGCAAGUUAGAAGUGAAAUCCUAUAGCUCACCUAUAGUAAGCUUUUAAAACUGCUCAUCUUGAGGUAUGGAAGCGAACGUGGAAUUCCUAGUGUAGCGGUGAGAUGCGCAGAUAUUAGGAGGAAUACCGGUAGCGAAGGCGACUUUCUGGCCAUAACCUGACGCUGAGAUACGAUAGCGUGGGUAGCAAACAGG